rnacentral:lncRNA from 1 species
GUAUCAAAACGACGACUAUGUGCACUCCGAGCAAGCAUAAACCCAUAAGUACGUCUUCGCUAGUUGCAUCUAUAUCGUCCAUGGAUUUGUUGAUAUGUUUUGGCUAAAUCGACUAUCACGUUUGUAUAAUUGCAGAUCUGUUAUAAUCGCAUACCAAAUUCGAGCAAUCAAUCGCUGAUUUUUCAACUUUUGAUGGGCAGGACAACCACCAUAAAAGGUCACCCAUUACUAUGUUUAUGUUUAACUGCGACGUGAUAGUCUAUUUGAGAUUUUUUUUCGGAUAAUCUGUAUAUAUUUGCUUAUCUAACAUACUCAGUAAAAUGUUGCAGUCAUCGAAGCAUCGAAAAUGGCAGAUGACAUUAUGCUGCUAAACGCGGGUGAGCAAUUGAUAUCCCCUAUUGAUACAUAUAAGAAAAUUGUAUAGUCGAGUAAAACGUCAAUAAUCGGAUCUGUGUUUUAGAUAACGUGCUGUUUGUCCGUAGUGUAUUUAAUCUCAUGGGUUUAUUCAUGUUAUAGAUUGUAAUUAAAUCGAUGAAUGUGAUAGUUGGUUAAUGAAAUUCGAUAGUACAUUAAGGUAUUAGUAGUCAGAUUUGUGUUUUAGAUAGCGUGCUGUUUGUCCGUAGUGUAAUUACUCUCAUGGGUUUAUUCAUGUUAUACAUUGUGAUUAAAUCGAAUCUAUGUGAUAGUUGGUUAAUGAAGUCCGGUAGUAUAUUAGGAUAUUAAUAGUCGGUUAUGUGUCUUAGAUAGUGUGGUGUUUGUCCGUAAUAUAAUUAAUCUCAUGGGUAUUUUGAUGUUUUACAUUUUGUCAAGAUACUAUUGUGUAUGUGAUGUUUGGUUGAUAAAUCUGAUAGUAUAUUAUAAUAGUCUGACAGCAUGCUGUGUUAAUUCGUUGUUACAAUGAGAUGUUAUUUAGAAGAAAUUCAGACCGAGAUGUUAUGAAUUGAGAUAGUAUGCUAAUAUAAAAUUUGUGUUGUUAUGAAUCUAUAUAUUAAUUGUAGAACGAGUAUUAAUAUACCAUUACUUUAGAAAUGAAUUGUUGGUCGCUUAACUACACUGCAGUUUUAGUUAUGCGUGCUUGUGUAGUUAUGUGUAUGCCUAUGAUAUGUUUAAUUGUUAUCAAUAUUUGUUGCGUAUUUUAUGUUUCUCAUAAUUACACAAUUUUACGUACUUUACAGCCGAAUCAAACCUAAUGGCACAAAUAGAACUAGA